UACGAAGGGGGCUAGCGUUGCUCGGAAUCACUGGGCGUAAAGCGCACGUAGGCGGCUUUCUAAGUCAGGGGUGAAAUCCUGGAGCUCAACUCCAGAACUGCCUUUGAUACUGGGAAGCUUGAGUCCGGAAGAGGUGAGUGGAACUGCGAGUGUAGAGGUGAAAUUCGUAGAUAUUCGCAAGAACACCAGUGGCGAAGGCGGCUCACUGGUCCGGUACUGACGCUGAGGUGCGAAAGCCAGGGGAGCAAACGGG
rnacentral:rRNA from 1 species